rnacentral:ncRNA from 1 species
GGUCUUCGAGGUGGUAGAUUUCGUGUCAACCACACGCCCCCGUGGCUAAAAGAGAUGCAGGGGAACGGCACGCCUGCCGAAGACC